CACUGAACUCUGUGAUGCCUUCGGUACUUUGUGUGCGCACAUCUCACUGGGUUGCCGCAUCACACCCGCUAGUUCCUGUUGAUGUCAAGAUUCUGCUUAAGGGACACCUCCUCCGGGAAGCCUUCUCUGAUCACCACAGCCCCUUCCAGGGCCUUCAUUUGGAUCCCAUGACCCCUGGACUGCUGAACAGCUCUCCCCACCCCCAUGACCAUGAGCUUCUGGAAGGCCAGGAUCAUAUCUUGUUCCUUGUUUUCCUAGCCAGUGUAGACACUGAGUAGCUGUUCAGUGAAUAAUCUGAACUUGGUAGGCUGCCUUUUACUCAGAGGAGACAUUUCCCCGUCUAAGGAGAAACCUGCAUACAGUCAGUGCUGUCUUUGCGGUGUUCCAUCUGUGAAUCAUUUACUCGUCCAACAACAAAGAAGUGAUUUUGUUGCUGCUUUUGGACGGUAAAAUUACCUGUGUGCAUGUCAGCGUGCGGUUUCUGCUACUCCCGUGAUUUCCGGGGACACAGUCCCAGAAGUGUCUCCAGUUUCCUUGACCGCCCUCCCCACCCCUGCUCAGCUCUGAGCUGACGGUGGUGACCCCCCGGGAGCUCUUUGUCCACAGUCUCUGUGAGCGCUGAGGGACUGUUAGAAUUUGUCACUGCUCUGGCCUCAGGCCAUUGUCAAUGGGAGAGUUUGCCGUCUGGGUCCCACAGUUGACAGACUGAAGAGAUCCAUGCCUGUGGUUUUCUCCUCUCCUCCUGCUGAGCCCCGCGCUCUGGCUCCCACUUCCCUGCCUUUGCCUGAGAUGCUCCCCUCCCUUCCCCUCUGCCCUGCGUCCCUUUGACCCAUUUCCGCGCGUCUUUAACACUGACACCUCUUCCCUGAAGCCUUCCUGGCAUCCCCAGGGCAGAGGGGACCUCCUCCCGGCGCCCGCUCUCUGGCCUGCUCUCCUGUGGCCUUGCUGUGGUCUCGUCUGGCUAGGUGUGUCUUGCUGUUACUCUGAGCCCCUCGAGGACAGCGUCUAGGUCGCAGUCACCGCUGAUCCCCAGCUGAUGGCCAGUCCACGUUCCUGACGGGCGCCAGAGCCGCAGAGCGGGCGCGGUCCCGCGUACGCUGCAGCAUGGACUCUUCUCCCUGGAGCCGCACGGGAGGGUGGUGGUUUUUGGUUUUGUUUGUUUAAUGCUUGCUUUGGCGUUCAGGGCCUGCUUUGUGCUGAGCUCUGUAUUAGGGAAGGCGGGGAUCUGCUGGCUUCUGGAGCGUGGCCUGGGUUUGCCGCAGCGGAGGGAGAGACAGCCGCUGGGUUAGGAGCCUUCCCCCGCCUGGAUCUGUGGGGACGGAGGCUGGAGGCUGCUGGGAGGCGUCGCCCUGUGUGGUUUUGCCGUGGUGAGUGCAGUUGCUGGAGCAGUUACAGCGGAGUCUCAAUGACGGGAAGUCAUUGUUCGCGGAGGCUGAGGGCAAGGAGUUGAUCUUGAAUUCAGGUAGAUGAAAGCAUCCACUAAAGAAACAAGAUAGCCUGGAAUGGAAACAUUUAUUAGUUCUAGAGCAAAGUCCUCUUUUGCUGCACAAUAGAAUUGUCCAGGAAACAGAGAGAAGAAAUUGGUGCCCAGGCCCCACCCUCACAGGUGUUUUACUUUCCGUAUUAGGGUAACAUUUGGGCACUGGGGGGUUUCUACAGUUGUUUUUAGUUAGUUUUUU